ACGACCGAUGAUGAGAUCUGGCGUCCUUUGAGUGAUACUUGAUAAAUGCCAAGUUCUGGUAAUCUGAGGUCAAU